rnacentral:rRNA from 1 species
UGGGGGAUAUUGCACAAUGGGGGAAACCCUGAUGCAGCGACGCCGCGUGAGGGAAGACGGUCUUCUGGAUUGUAAACCUCUGUCUUCAGGGACGAUAAUGACGGUACCUGAGGAGGAAGCCACGGCUAACUACGUGCCAGCAGCCGCGGUAAUACGUAGGUGGCAAGCGUUGUCCGGAAUUACUGGGUGUAAAGGGAGCGUAGGCGGGGACGCAAGUUGAAUGUUUAAACUAUGGGCUCAACCCGUAGUCGCGUUCAAAACUGCGUUUCUUGAGUGAAGUAGAGGCAGGCGGAAUUCCUAGUGUAGCGGUGAAAUGCGUAGAUAUUAGGAGGAACACCAGUGGCGAAGGCGGCCUGCUGGGCUUUUACUGACGCUGAGGCUCGAAAGUGCGGGGAGCAAACAGG